rnacentral:rRNA from 1 species
CUUCGGGGUACUCGAGCGGCGAACGGGUGAGUAACACGUGAGCAACCUGCCCUAGGCUUUGGGAUAACCCUCGGAAACGGGGGCUAAUACCGAAUAUUCACUUGCGGACGCAUGUUUGUGGGUGGAAAGUUUUUCGGCUUGGGAUGGGCUCGCGGCCUAUCAGCUUGUUGGUGGGGUGAUGGCCUACCAAGGCGACGACGGGUAGCCGGCCUGAGAGGGCGACCGGCCACACUGGGACUGAGACACGGCCCAGACUCCUACGGGAGGCAGCAGUGGGGAAUAUUGCACAAUGGGCGGAAGCCUGAUGCAGCGACGCCGCGUGAGGGAUGACGGCCUUCGGGUUGUAAACCUCUUUCAGCAGGGACGAAGCGCAAGUGACGGUACCUGCAGAAGAAGCGCCGGCCAACUACGUGCCAGCAGCCGCGGUAAGACGUAGGGCGCGAGCGUUGUCCGGAUUUAUUGGGCGUAAAGAGCUCGUAGGCGGCUUGUCGCGUCGACUGUGAAAACCCGUGGCUCAACUGCGGGCCUGCAGUCGAUACGGGCAGGCUAGAGUUCGGUAGGGGAGACUGGAAUUCCUGGUGUAGCGGUGAAAUGCGCAGAUAUCAGGAGGAACACCGGUGGCGAAGGCGGGUCUCUGGGCCGAUACUGACGCUGAGGAGCGAAAGCGUGGGGAGCGAACAGGAUUAGAUACCCUGGUAGUCCACGCUGUAAACGUUGGGC